CUCUAGUUAGCGCAGUUGGUAAAGCGCUCCACUGGAGGUGGAUAGGUUCCGGGUUCGAUACCCGGACCAGGCG
rnacentral:tRNA from 1 species